GCCGGAAGGGAGAGCAGAGGCCUGAGAGACAACUGAGAGCUCAAGGACCAGGAGGCUGUGGUCAGAGUGUGAGUGGGCUGGUUUAGAGAUUCCCAGUUCUCGGUAUCUACCCGAAGGAGCUGAACACAGAUGCUCAAGCAGAAACCUGCACAGGGAUGUUUAUGGCAGCACUAGUCACAGCAGCCAAACGGUGGAAACAACCCACGUAUCUAUCAGCCGAUGAAUGGAUAAACAAAACGUAGGACAGCCAUCCAGAAGAAUGUUAUUCAGCCAUAACAAGGAAUGACGUUCUAACACACACAACAUGAUGAACCUGGAAAACACAUUUUACUAAAUGCAAGGCAGCCAUCCACGAGAGAACUGCAGAAGGAAACUGAGGAAGAAUGAAGGUAUACUUCUCAAGGUCACAUACCUAUUAAGAGCCUGGACCAGUGGGGUUUUUGUUGUUGUUGGUCUUGGUGUUUUCUUUUUAGGGUCACACC